AGAGUUUGAUCAUGGCUCAGGAUGAACGCUAGCGGCAGGCUUAAUACAUGCAAGUCGAGGGGUAACAGGGUUUUAGGACUGCUGACGACCGGCGCACGGGUGCGUAACACGUAUGCAACCUACCUUUAACAGGAGGAUAGCCCCGAGAAAUCGGAAUUAAUACUCUAUAAGAUUAUAGAUUGGCAUCGAUUUAUGAUUAAAGUUCAGGCGGUUAAAGAUGGGCAUGCGCGACAUUAGUUAGUUGGUAAGGUAACGGCUUACCAAGACGAAGAUGUCUAGGGGUUCUGAGAGGAAGAUCCCCCACACUGGUACUGAGACACGGACCAGACUCCUACGGGAGGCAGCAGUAAGGAAUAUUGGGCAAUGGACGCAAGUCUGACCCAGCCAUGCCGCGUGCAGGAAGACAGCCUUAUG
rnacentral:rRNA from 1 species